rnacentral:rRNA from 1 species
GACGAACGCUGGCGGCGUGCUUAACACAUGCAAGUCGAACGGUGAAGCGCCUUCCUUUUUGGUGGGUGUGGAUGAGUGGCGAACGGGUGAGUAACACGUGAGUAACCUGCCCCCUUCUUCUGGAUAACCGCAUGAAAGUGUGGCUAAUACGGGAUAUUCUGGGUCUGUCGCAUGAUGGGUCUGGGAAAGAUAUUGUUUCGGUGGGGGAUGGGCUCGCGGCCUAUCAGCUUGUUGGUGGGGUGAUGGCCUACCAAGGCGGUGACGGGUAGCCGGCCUGAGAGGGUGGACGGUCACACUGGGACUGAGACACGGCCCAGACUCCUACGGGAGGCAGCAGUGGGGACUAUUGCACGAUGGGCGGAAGCCUGAUGCAGCGACGCCGCGUGAGGGAUGGAGGCCUUCGGGUUGUGAACCUCUUUCGCCAGUGAAGCAGGCCUGCCUCGUUUGUGGGUGGGUUGACGGUAGCUGGAUAAGAAGCGCCGGCUAACUACGUG